rnacentral:rRNA from 1 species
GAUGAACGCUGGCGGUAUGCCUAACACAUGCAAGUCGUACGAGAGUUUUUAACUCUAGUGGCGGACGGGUGAGUAACGCGUAAGAAUCUACCUAUAGGUUCGGGACAACAGUUAGAAAUGACUGCUAAUACCGGAUAUGCCUUCGGGUGAAAAGUUUUUAAUGCCUGUAGAUGAGCUUGCGUUCGAUUAGCUAGAUGGAGUGGUAACGGCACACCAUGGCGACGAUCGAUAACUGGUCUGAGAGGAUGACCAGUCACACUGGGACUGAGACACGGCCCAGACUCCUACGGAGGCAGCAGUGGGGAAUUUCCGCAAUGGCGAAAGCCUGACGGAGCAAUACCGCGUGAGGGACGAAGGUCUGUGGAUUGUAAA